rnacentral:tRNA from 2 species
GCGCGAGUGGCGGAAUUGGCAGACGCACCAGGUUUAGGUCCUGGCGCCUUCGGGUGUGCGGGUUCGACUCCCGCCUCGCGCA